rnacentral:rRNA from 1 species
AGUAAUGCUUGGGAAUCUAGCUUAUGGAGGGGGAUAACUACUGGAAACGGUAGCUAAUACCGCAUAACGUCGCAAGACCAAAGAGGGGGACCUUCGGGCCACAUGCCAUAGGAUGAGCCCAAGUGGGAUUAGGUAGUUGGUGAGGUAAAGGCUCACCAAGCCGACGAUCUCUAGCUGGUCUGAGAGGAUGACCAGCCACACUGGAACUGAGACACGGUCCAGACUCC